rnacentral:tRNA from 11 species
GCCCAGAUGGCGGAAUUGGUAGACGCGCUGGCUUCAGGUGCCAGUGACCGCAAGGUCGUGGAGGUUCGAGUCCUCUUCUGGGCACCA